rnacentral:lncRNA from 1 species
ACCUUGGGCGCGAGAUGUUGACUUAGGCCCGCUGCGUACCUAACCCUGCCCCUUGAUAGCUCCGCCUACGGUGGUAAAUAUUGGAAAGAUGAAUUAGCCUCAGCUGCUACUAUCCAGUCCCCGUCGUUCCACCCUCCUCUAAGUUCUCAGAGGGAAGACUGAGGUGCCGGAUGUGAAGAAGAGGGAGAGCGUGGAGACUUGGAGCCCUAAGUGAGGGGUGGGACGGAUGGCCUGUUUGAGACUCGCACACCCGGGAUCGACUGGGGAUUGGGGGCCCUGGGGGUAGGGACUGAGGGUGUGCGAUCUGGAAGCGAAGGGAGUCGUUGCAGAGGCCGCCAACGGUAUCUUUGACUCUGGUGGUGGAAUCGCCAGCCUGGGAAGACGGAGACAAGGCGGGCCAGAAGGGGGCGAGUUUGAGGAGAAUCCCUUUUGUAAGGCGGGAAUGUCGGGGAGUCCUGAAUGGGUCCGCAUUCUAACACCCGGACGUAUGAGAGGUCUGCGCCAGCCUGUAGGGACACUUUCAGGGUGUAGCCGUGGUUGGAAAAAAGCUCUUUUUACUUCAGUUCAUUUUUGUUUCCUAAGGUAGUACGUUCACAUUUAAAGACUCAAGAACUUGCAUAAGGCUUUAUUACUCGAAAACUUUUCUCCUACAGGGUUUUCUGUUCUGUGAGGAAAUAUUUUCAAACCUUUGAGAUUUUCUUCUCCAGAAGUUUUAUUUCUUCCUUUUAAAUCUGCCUCUCUGUGUUCUUCAUCAGCUUCUUAUAUUUCAGUUUGAAAUAUUUCUUGAUUUCCUAUGUCUCCUGGCCAUUCUUGCUGCAGUAUGCGUGUAGUCAGCCAUUUGCUUUUCUUUCUCUUUUUCUCGUCAUACCCCAACUACGUUUUGCACUGGUUCCUUUUUGACAUCUCAUCUUGGAGUGAGCUUAGAAUUCAGCCGGUUGCGGGAGUUGGUCCAGCACUUUUUCUCAUGCUCUUAUAUUUUUUCUUUAUUAUUUUGUUAUUAUUUUAUUUUAUUGUAUAGCCGCACCUGUGGCAUACGGAAAUUUUCCUGCCAGGGGUUGAAUCUGAGCCACAGCUACCACGUAUGCCGCAGUUGUGGCAACGCCUUAUCCUUUAACCCACUGCAUCAGCCGGGGUUUGAAUUUUCACCUCUGCAGCAACCUGGGCCGCUACAGUUGGAUUCUCUCUCUCCCUCUUUUUUUUUAAGGGCUGCUCCUGCAGCAUAUAAAAGUUCCCAGGCUAGGGGUCGAAUCAGAGCUGUAGCCACUAGCCUACGCCAGAGCCACAGCAACGCAGGAUCCAAGCAGGAUCCAAGCUGCGUCUGCAACCUACACCACAGCUCACGGCAACGCCGGAUUGUUAACCCGCUGAGCAAGGGCAGGGACUGAACCCUCAACCUCAUGGUUCCUAGUCAGAUUCGUUAACCACUGCGCCACGACGGGAACUCCCCUGUUCCUUUUUUCUAAGGUCUGUUGCUAGUAAAGCUGUCUUUCUUUUUUCCUUUUAUCCUACCCAGUUAUGGAGGUUUUUGGUUUUGUUUUGUCUCUCCUCCCCACCCCCCUCCACCCUGCAGCAUAUGGAAGUUCCCAAGCCAGGGAUUGAAUCUGAGCCAGAUCCUUCAACCCACUUCUCUGGGCCAUGGUUCAAAUCCACACCUCUGCAUCAACUGGAGCCAUAGUUGCAGCAGUGCUGGAUCCUUCAGACACUGCUGGGCUGGGUAUCGAACCUGCGUCCCAGUGCUCCAGAGAUGCAUGGAAAAUUUUAGGCCAUCGCUUUGUUACCAAUUUUGUGUCUGAUGCACAGUGAGCCCAGACCUACUGAAGUGUUGGAAUUUGGAGCAUAGAAUGGUUUGUUGCAGAGCUAAGCAAAGGGGAUGGGUGAUUCAUGCUCAGAAACCCCAAACUUUCCUCAUUGGUUUUGGGGGAGAAUAUUUACAGGCAAAAUUUGGGGUGAGGGCUGCAGGGUGUGUGAUUUCCUUUUGAUUGGUUGGUACUGAGGUAGCUCCAGGAAUCUUGAACUCAGCCUAAGUUGACAUCCUCCACCUGGGUGGGGGCCUUAGUUGCAGUAGCAGAACUCCGAUAUACUGUUAAUGUAUAUUACUUGAGAAGGAACCUGGACCCCACCCCAAGGCUAUAUUGCUAUUUCUUAACUUCCUCCUUUGUUUCUGUAUUCCCUCCCUUCCCAGAAUAGCAACUGUUUGAACCUGCCCUUUGGAAUCCAGGGAAGGUCUUGGAGGCUAUUUGAGACCUAUUUCCUAGAAACAAGAAAUGGGAGUUCUCUGUGGCACAGUGGGUUAAGGCUCUGCCAUUAUCACUGAAGGGGCUUGGAUCCCUGGGAACUACCACAUGCUGUGGGUGUAGACUCCCCCCACUCCCCCCCUAAUGAGAGAGAGAAAUGGGAGACACAGACAGGAUUUGCACCCAGGAGCCCCACAGGGUCCUGCUUGUUUCAAAACCAGGAUCAGAUUCCAGAACUAAGGGAUUAAAAUAGGGAACAUUGUCUGCUAGGAGCCUGAAGUUCAUCGGAAUCUGUCAUUAACAAAUUAAAAUAAUCAGUUCUCUGGUGGCCUAAGGGUUAAGAGGGUUAAGAAGUUGUCACUGCAGCAGCUCGGGUUGAUGCUGUGGCUUGGGUUUGAUUCCUGGCCUGGGAACUUUUGCUUGCUGUGGACACUGCCAAAAAAAAAAAAAAAAAAAAAAAAAAAAAAA